AGCCUGUUCUCUCAGCAGUCAGGGACCUGCACAGCUGCUGUGGGUGGGGCAGGUGCUCAGGUAAUUACCAACAGCUGCUUGGUAAUUACUGACAGCCAGGUGAGAAGUUGGCUUGUGCCUGGUUGAGGGCUUGAGGACUGUGCUGAGAGAAGGGCUAAGGAGUGGAGUAGAAAAUACAAUUUACACAAGCAGAACCUGCUGUCCCUGUGCGCUCAGAACAGGCGUGGAGGGUCCCCAAGGCAUCCUCAGAAUGGGCUUUGCCCUCACCUUGGCUUGUGCUGCUGCAGAUUUUGGAGACAAUUGUGCAUAAGAAUGGGCACUAGAACCAGACUUGGGGCUGGCAUGCUCUGCAUUUCCAGGAUGGCUCAUGGACAGGGUAAGGUGCUGUUGGUGCCCUCUGCAUCAAGCUGUGAUUCUAUGGACGCUUCAGCAAGAGAGGUUUUUUCAGGGUGAUUAAACCUUCAUCCUUGCUGUGCUUCCUGUGA